ensembl:lncRNA
GAGAGAGGAAGAGGAGGUUAGAGAGAGAGAGGAAGAGGAGGUCAGAGAGAGAGAGAGAGGAAGAGAAAUGCGGAGGAGGUCAGAGAGAGAGAGAGAGAGGAGGAAGGAGGUCAAAGAGAGAGAGGAAGGAAGAGGAGGUCAAAGAGAGAGAGGAAGAGGAGGUCAAAGAGAGAGAGAGAGGAAGAGGAGGUCAGAGAGAGAGAGAGAGAGGAAGAGGCGGUCAGAGAGAGAGAGAGAGAGAGGAAGAGGCGGUCAGAGAGAGAGAGAGAGAGAGGAAGGAGGUCAGAGAGAGAGAGAGAGGAAGAGGAGGUCAGAGAGAGAGAGAGAGGAAGAGGAAGGAAGAGGAGGUCAAAGAGAGAGAGGAAGAGGAAGGCAGAGGAGGUCAAAGAGAGAGAGAGGAAGAGAAAGGCAGAGGAGGUCAGAGAGAGAGAGAGAGGAAGAGAAAGGCAGAGGAGGUUAGAGAGAGAGAGAGGGAGGAAGAGGAGGUCAAAGAGAGAGAGGAAGAGGAAGGCAGAGGAGGUCAAAGAGAGAGAGAGAGGAAGAGAAAGGCAGAGGAGGUCAAAGAGAGAGAGAGAGGAAGAGAAAGGCAGAGGAGGUCAAAGAGAGAGAGGAAGAGGAGGUCAGAGAGAGAAAGGCAGAGGAGGUCAAAGAGAGAGAGAGAGGAAGAGAAAGGCAGAGGAGGUCAAAGAGAGAGGAAGAGAAAGGCAGAGGAGGUCAAAGAGAGAGAGGAAGAGGAAGGAAGAGGAGGUCAAAGAGAGAGAGAGAGGAAGAGGAGGUCAAAGAGAGAGAGAGAGAGGAAGAGAAAGGCAGAGGUCAAAGAGAGAGAGAGAGGAAGAGAAAGGCAGAGGAGGUAAAAGAGAGAGAGAGAGGAAGAGGAGGUCAAAGAGAGAGAGGAAGAGGAAGGAAGAGGAGGUCAAAGAGAGAGAGGAAGAGGAGG